AUUGAACGCUGGCGGCAUGCUUUACACAUGCAAGUCGAACGGUAACAGGCCUUCGGGUGCUGACGAGUGGCGAACGGGUGAGUAAUGCAUCGGAACGUACCCAGAGGUGGGGGAUAACGCAGCGAAAGCUGUGCUAAUACCGCAUGUGAUCUGAGGAUGAAAGCGGGGGACCGAGCAGCAAUGUUUGGCCUCGCGCCUUUGGAGCGGCCGAUGUCGGAUUAGCUAGUUGGUGGGGUAAAGGCCUACCAAGGCGACGAUCCGUAGCUGGUCUGAGAGGACGACCAGCCACACUGGGACUGAGACACGGCCCAGACUCCUACGGGAGGCAGCAGUGGGGAAUUUUGGACAAUGGGCGCAAGCCUGAUCCAGCAAUGCCGCGUGCGGGAAGACGGCCUUCGGGUUGUAAACCGCUUUUGGCAGGAACGAAACGGUGUCCGCUAAUACCGGGCGCUAAUGACGGUACCUGCAGAAUAAGCACCGGCUAACUACGUG
rnacentral:rRNA from 1 species